UACGUAGGGUGCAAGCGUUGUCCGGAAUUAUUGGGCGUAAAGAGCUCGUAGGCGGUUUGUCGCGUCGAAUGUGAAAUCCCGGGGCUUAACCCCGGGCGUGCAGUGGAUACGGGCUGGCUGGAGGCAGGCAGGGGAGAACGGAAUUCCCGGUGUAGCGGUGAAAUGCGCAGAUAUCGGGAGGAACACCGGUGGCGAAGGCGGUUCUCUGGGCCUGUACUGACGCUGAGGAGCGAAAGCGUGGGGAGCGAACAGG
rnacentral:rRNA from 1 species